GUUAAUGUAGCUUAACAACUAAAGCAGAGCAUUGAAAAUGCCCAGAUGAGCCUACCAGCUCCAUAAACA
rnacentral:tRNA from 1 species